rnacentral:rRNA from 1 species
GACAGAGGUGCCGAGCGUUAGGCGGAAUCACUGGGCUUAAAGCGUGUGUAGGCGGGUCGUUAAGUGUCUUGUGAAAUCCCACCGCUCACCGGUGGAACGGCUGGGCAUACUGGCGACCUUGAGAGGCCUAGGGGCAGACGGAACAAGCGGUGGAGCGGUGAAAUGCGUAGAUAUCGCUUGGAACGCCGAAGGUGAAAACAGGUUGCUGGGGUUGUGCCGACGCUGAGACACGAAAGCCAGGGGAGCAAACGGG